GCUGGCACAAAGGUUAAGCCCUUGGCUGCUAAACAAGAGGUUGGUGGUUCAAACCCACCCAGCA
rnacentral:tRNA from 1 species